rnacentral:rRNA from 1 species
GACGAACGCUGGCGGCGUGCCUAACACAUGCAAGUCGAACGGAAAGGCCCUGCUUUUGUGGGGUGCUCUGGUUGCCAACGGGUGAGUAACCCGUGAGUAACCUGUCCCUGACUUUGGGAUAACUUCAGGCAACUGGGGCUAAUACCGGAGAGGAGCUCCUGCUGCUUGGUGGGGGCUGGAAAGGUUCGGCGGUUGGGGAUGGACUAGCGGCUUAUCAGCUUGUUGGUGGGGUAGUGGCUUACCAAGGCUUUGACGGGUAGCCGGCCUGAGAGGGUGACCGGCCACAUUGGGACUGAGAUACGGCCCAGACUCCUACGGGAGGCAGCAGUGGGGAAUAUUGCACAAUGGGCGGAAGCCUGAUGCAGCAACGCCGCGUGCGGGAUGACGGCCUUCGGGUUGUAAACCGCUUUCGCCUGUGACGAAGCGUGAGUGACGGUAAUGGGUAAAGAAGCACCGGCUAACUACGUG